ensembl:lncRNA novel transcript, antisense to LTA4H
CUAAUGGGAUGUCAGUAUUCUAAUGAACACAGCCUGAGAAAUGUUGCUGUAAUCCUGACACUUCAAUCUUGCAGCAAACCUUGUGCUGAAAUUUUCUGCAUCAGAAAUCAUUCUGGAAUCCUUUUUACCUGGCACUGACUAAAGAGAUAUGGGUGUUCCUUCCCAGAAGUCUGUUCAGGAGUGAGCCACUGGAGAGCAGAAGAUUUUGGAGAGGUCUCAAAAGAAAUUUCUAUAACAAUUUCUUGAUUUCUGUAUGAAACACAUAAAUAUAUUAGUAGAGUAUGAUUCCAUCUAGUGAAAAUUUAAACUCAUAAUACAUACACUGAAUAAUAUAAAUAACAUAGUAUGCAUUCUCAUCACUGAUUGGCAGUAAGCUCUAGGUAUGCCACAUCCUCAGUGGGUAAGUCUCCUCUCAGUUUUCCUACCUAAUUGCCAGCCUGUGGGUCCUUUUACCUCUCCCAUGCUAACUGCUAGCGAAGGCUUAAUGGCAACUAACAGUGGUUGACUACCCCGUUGUGUGUCACGUACUUUGCAUCUGUGAUAUCAUUUAAUAUUUUAUUAGAGUGAAAAAGUAAAAGAAAUCAUUUUUGGGGCUUCAACUACCACAGCAGCAGGUGCCACAGCAUGACACAGAGCAGUGCUAGUCUGCAAACUGU